rnacentral:rRNA from 1 species
AUACGGAAGGUCCGGGCGUUAUCCGGAUUUAUUGGGUUUAAAGGGAGCGUAGGCGGGAGAUUAAGCGUGCUGUGAAAUCCGGCGGCUCAACCGUCGCGAGCAGCGCGAACUGGUUUCCUUGAGUGCGCGGGAGGCAGGCGGAAUUCGGGGGGUAGCGGGGGAAUGCUUAGAUAUCACGAAGAACCCCGAUUGCGAAGGCAGCCUGCCGUAGCGUUACUGACGCUGAAGCUCGAAGGUGCGGGUAUCGAACAGGAUUAGAUACCCUGGUAGUCCGCACGGUAAACGAUGGAUGCCCGCUGUCCGCGCCUAGUCGUGGGUGGCCAAGCGAAAGCGUUAAGCAUCCCACCUGGGGAGUACGCCGGCAACGGUGAAACUCAAAGGAAUUGACGGGG